rnacentral:snoRNA from 1 species
AUUUUAAGUGAUGUGACUAUCCAUACAAUUUUGUAACAUGAUUCCUGAGUGAAACUAUGGAACAUGCACCACCAUCUGAUAAAAU